rnacentral:lncRNA from 1 species
ACACCUGCUGGUCUCACCGCUAGGGCCUGGGCAUCACAGGCAGGGGGAAUGGGGAGGGGACGGUAGCGUCAGCCUACACCCACACGCAGUUUCCUGAUAAAAGGUCCUUUGGAAACUUUGAUUCUCUUCUCACCAAGUUGAACGGAGAUGUGUUCCCAUAGUAAGAGUGAGGCCCCUGCAUUUGCUGCCCUCGGUUUUCCCAACUAACACCAGGGCCUCCCCCCUGUACCCCAUUCAUAUGCCUCAGAAGCUGACAAUGACUGUUGGGCUUUUCCAAUGAAUACCAGAACACCAUUUCCUGCAGCCUGAAAAGAAGACAGUAUAAUUGUUUGGCAGCAAGAGAAUCCAGGUGCCCUUCCAUGAGAAGCCCAAGCCAUGUGGAGAAGCCACGUCUAGGGACUCCAGUUAACACUCUCAGCUGAGUCCCCAGCUGACAGUCAGCAUCAACUGCCAGCCACCUCUGUCUAAAAGUGGGCUAUCUUGGGCAUCCAGCCCAGUCAAGCCUUCAGAUGAGUCCAGUCCCAGCCACUAUCUCACACAACCACACGAGAGACAUCAAGAACUCCCAGUGGAGUCCAGUCAGCCCAUGGAACUGCAAGAGACAGGAUCUCGCUGCGUUGCUCAGACUGGUCUCGAACUCCUGGGCUUAAGGGAUUCUCCUGCCUCAAUCACAGCCUCCCAAGUAGCUGAGAUUAAAAGUGCUCACCACCGUGCCAGCGAGUUCAGUUUUUGAGAUAAGGGGAAAUUGGAGCUCAGAGAUUUAAGCCACCUGCCAGAGGUCACAUGGCCCAUAAAAGAUCUGUCCCAUUCCACCAAGGAUUUAAGGCUAAAGAUUUAAGUUGUGAAGAUGAUAAUGGAUUGACUCUAUGAAUGGCCACAUUUUUUUAUGCCUCCCUUUUCCCUUGUCCUCGGGCAGUGUCCUCCGACACUGACUCUGUGCUUGGCCCUGUGACUUGCUUUGGCCAAUGGUACAGCAGCAAACUUGAUGCAAACACAACUUGAAAAAGAAGAGGACAGCCAAGUCAUCCCAGCCAAGGCCACCCUGGACCAGCCAGCCUCUUGCCAAGCUGCCAGUGACCACAGAGUCCAAUUAACAACAGCCAGUCCUGGCCCAGGGUGGAGCCAAGACUCUGAGGAGAGGGCUGAACUGUGAACCUAGAAGUACCAUCUCCCCCUGCACACACCUUUGGUCAAGUUGACCCCAAGAAGAAGGACAAGUCCUCUGCACGGCGAUGAGGCCAUACACACAGUCUGUGGCCCGGCUUUGGGAGACUGAUGGGACAAAGGAUGUUUUGCACGAUCCUUGGUCUCUGAGCAAAUAUAUACAUGGGUUAACACAAA